rnacentral:rRNA from 1 species
CGGGGAAUAUUGCACAAUGGGCGCAAGCCUGAUGCAGCCAUGCCGCGUGUGUGAAGAAGGCCUUCGGGUUGUAAAGCACUUUCAGCGAGGAGGAAGGUGGUGAGCUUAAUACGCUCAUCAAUUGACGUUACUCGCAGAAGAAGCACCGGCUAACUCCGUGCCAGCAGCCGCGGUAAUACGGAGGGUGCAAGCGUUAAUCGGAAUUACUGGGCGUAAAGCGCACGCAGGCGGUUUGUUAAGUCAGAUGUGAAAUCCCCGGGCUCAACCUGGGAACUGCAUUUGAAACUGGCAAGCUAGAGUCUCGUAGAGGGGGGUAGAAUUCCAGGUGUAGCGGUGAAAUGCGUAGAGAUCUGGAGGAAUACCGGUGGCGAAGGCGGCCCCCCUGGACGAAGACUGACGCUCAGGUGCGAAAGCGUGGGGCAGCAAACAGGAUUAGAUACCCUGGUAGUCCAGCGCUGUAAACGAUGUCGAUUUGGAGGUUGUGCCCUUGAGGCGUGGCUUCCGGAGCUAACGCGUUAAA